AAACUUUCAACAACGGAUCUCUUGGUUCUGGCAUUGAUGAAGAACGCAGCGAAAUGCGAUAAGUAAUGUGAAUUGCAGAAUUCAGUGAAUCAUCGAAUCUUUGAACGCACAUUGCGCCCCUCGGUAUUCCGGGGGGCAUGCCUGUUCGAGCGUCAUUG
rnacentral:rRNA from 1 species